rnacentral:rRNA from 1 species
UACGAAGGGGGCUAGCGUUGCUCGGAUUGACUGGGCGUAAAGGGCGCGUAGGCGGUUCGUACAGUCAGACGUGAAAUUCCUGGGCUCAACCUGGGGGCUGCGUUUGAUACGUGCGGACUUGAGUGCGGAAGAGGGUCGUGGAAUUCCCAGUGUAGAGGUGAAAUGCGUAGAUAUCGAGAGGAACACCUGUGGCGAAGGCGAGUCUCUGGACACUUCCUGACGCUGAGGCACGAAAGCCAGGGGAGCAAACGGG